rnacentral:rRNA from 1 species
AUUGAACGCUGGCGGCAGGCCUAACACAUGCAAGUCGAACGAGUGGCGGACGGGUGAGUAAUGUCUGGGAAACUGCCUGAUGGAGGGGGAUCACUACUGGCAACGGUAGCUAAUACCGCAUACCCUCAGAUGUGCCCAGAUGGGAUUAGCUAGUUGGUGGAGUAACGGCUCACCCAGGCGACGAUCCCUAGCUGGUCUGAGAGGAUGACCAGCCACACUGGAACUGGUACACGGUCCAGACUCCUACGAGAGGCAGCAGUGGGGAAUAUUGCACAAUGGGCGCAAGCCUGAUGCGGCCAGGCCGCGUGUAUGAAGAAGGCCUUCGGGUUGUAAAGUACUUUCAGCGGGAAGGCGUUACCCGCAGAAGAAGCACCGGCUAACUCCGUGCCAGCAGCCGCGGUAAUUC